UUUCUUAGAGGUAAUUAUCCUAUUGUCAAAGGUGUUCUAAGGUUUAAUACUAGAUACAGUCGUUACUUCGACGAUUGUUCCUUCCUGUUCUCAGGCAGGUUGUUAGACUGUGACGAUUUCUUCAUCAUCGUGCAAAUCGUGUUUCUAGGCGUCUCGGUAAUUUCAUACCCGUCAUGAGACGCGGCCGCGUGGCCGCCUUGCAAACCCGGCCAGUUUGGUCUCGGCGAUCUAGACCUGCGCGCAUUGGCAAUCUAAACGGGGCGUAGAAGAUAGCAGUAGGAGGGGGUGCCCUUUUUUCUCCUCUUUUUUCGUUCGCGGUAGCGGCGAGCGCCCUAGGGCGUGCGACCGGACGCGACGAGAGCGAACCUGGUGGCGACGGGGACGAGCAGCGGCCGCGAGCGUCGGAGUGGCGGCGGCCGCUUGGUUUUGUGGUGGGCGGAAGUGGCGGCUGUGGCUUCGUUUUUUACGGCCAAGGUCGUUUUAGUUUUCUGCAACCAUCGUUUAAAAAUCCUACUAAGGUCGUUUUUGUUUCCUACCAUCGUUUUUGAGGACUACGAAGGUCCUUCUGACCUUUAUCGCUUUUGAGACCACCAUCGUUUACCGUAGAGGCUAUCAUCGUUUUUAGGCUCUGCCAACAUCGUUUUUUUUCGGUAACGACGGCAACUCGUUGUGGCGGCACCCACCUACAUCGUUUUUUACUGAAGUCAAGGUCGUUUUAGUUUUAUACCAACAUCGUUUUUUCUGUCCUUUUUGUCUUCUACCUACAUCGUUUUAAGCUGUUUGUGACUAUCAUUGUUUUUUAGCUUUGCCGACAUCGUUUUACCAAGUAGCCAACGUCGUUUUUAGUCUACCAUCGUUUUUAAACCUACCCACCCACCAUCGUUUUUAAUUACUACCAAGGUCGUUUUUUUCAUCGACCAAGGUCGUUUCGAUCUAGCGGCGACUUCGGCAGCGUCGUGGCGGCAGCGGCCAAGGUCGUAAACACACCGACCAACGUCGAGGCGCUCGGAUACGAACAUCGAGACGGCUCGGCUCCAACGUAGUAGAAGACAACCACCAACGGGAGAGGACGCUCGCCUCGCCCCGCGCUUUAGAAGCAGACGUCGUUCGGUAGACGACCCCUUCCGGGGCCGCUCGUCUACUACGGGAGCGGUCUCGACGUGCGCCGUACGAUGACCCCGUCUCGCACUCGACGCGCACAGGCGCUGGUCGUCUACGAGAGCGGUCUCGACGUUCGACACACACUAAAUAAAACGGUACCUAAACACAAUAAACCUCCUUCGUGUCUCUUUCCCCUUCUAUCUAACAUAAACCCAACCUUUCUACUCACCUCCUCCC
rnacentral:rRNA from 1 species